rnacentral:rRNA from 1 species
AGAGUUUGAUCCUGGCUCAGGAUGAACGCUAGCGGCAGGCUUAAUACAUGCAAGUCGAGGGGCAGCAGGUCUGUAGCAAUACAGAUGCUGGCGACCGGCAAACGGGUGCGGAACACGUACGCAACUUACCCAAAACUGGGGGAUAGCCCGGGGAAACCCGGAUUAAUACCUCGUAACACUAUGGAGUGGCAUCACUUUAUAGUUAUAGCUCCGGCGGUUUUGGAUGGGCGUGCGCCUGAUUAGGUAGUUGGCAGGGUAACGGCCUACCAAGCCUACGAUCAGUAACUGGUGUGAGAGCACGACCAGUCACACGGGCACUGAGACACGGGCCCGACUCCUACGGGAGGCAGCAGUAAGGAAUAUUGGUCAAUGGACGCAAGUCUGAACCAGCCAUGCCGCGUGAAGGAUGAAGGUCCUCUGGAUUGUAAACUUCUUUUAUGGGGGACGAAACCUCUUUUUCUAAAGAGACUGACGGUACCCCAGGAAUAAGCACCGGCUAACUCCGUGCCAGCAGCCGCGGUAAUACGGAGGGUGCAAGCGUUAUCCGGAUUCACUGGGUUUAAAGGGUGCGUAGGAGGGCAGGGAAGUCAGUGGUGAAAUCUCCGGGCUUAACUCGGAAACUGCCGUUGAUACUCUCUGUCUUGAAUCCCGUGGAGGUGAGCGGAAUAUGUCAUGUAGCGGUGAAAUGCUUAGAUAUGACAUAGAACACCAAUUGCGAAGGCAGCUCGCUACACGAAGAUUGACUCUGAGGCACGAAAGCGUGGGGAUCAAACAGGAUUAGAUACCCUGGUAGUCCACGCCCUAAACGAUGGAUACUCGACAUACGCGAUACACAGUGUGUGUCUGAGCGAAAGCAUUAAGUAUCCCACCUGGGAAGUACGACCGCAAGGUUGAAACUCAAAGGAAUUGACGG